rnacentral:lncRNA from 1 species
UAUAUUUGAAGGACUUGAUUAUUUGAUUGCACUUGUAUUUAUUAUUUGUUGAGAAGCAAUAUUUGUGUUCUUGUUGCCUGCUAUUUAUAUCAUUGGUUGAUCACUGUUGCCAUUAUUGUUAUUUGUUUCCUAUUAUUUUGUACGUUAUGAACUGUACAGGUUUAUGUGAGUAUCUGGUCCUAGCCUUGUCACUACUUCGCCGUGAUAGGCCGGGCACUUACCAGCACAUGGGGUCGGUUGUGCUGAUUCUACACUCUGCGCUCUUUUUGCGCAGAUACAGGUUUUGGACAGCAAUUCCUAUUAUUUUGUACGUUAUGAACUGUACAGGUUUAUGUGAGUGUCUGGUCUUAGCCUUGUUACUACUUCGCCGGGAUAGGCCGGGCACUUACCAGCACAUGGGGUCGAUUGUGCUGAUUCUACACUCUGCGCUCUUUUUGCGCAGAUACAAGUUUUGGACAGCAGCAACAGCAGUAGUACGGGUGUUAGCUUUUGAUCAUCCUUGUAGGUGUCCGCAAGACCCGGUGUCUCCUCUAUCCUUACUUUCAGUCUGUUAUCUCAUAUAUUCGAGACAAACAAUAUCAUAUUUCUUUCAGACGGUUAUGUGUAUUAUUCUUAGAAGUUCGUGAGUAUCGUGACACCAUUUCUUGGUUUAGUGUUUUAUGUUCGUGACACCAGUUCUUGGGUAGUUUUUUAUGUUGAAAUUUUCAGUAUCGCAUCUAGUA